CCUUAANCCCUCAAUAAAGUGCAGAGCCAAGCAAGAUGAUCAGGAGAACCUGUGAAAAAGCUAUCAGAAAGUUAUACUUGUAUCCCACCAGAGAAUGCGAAGAAUUUAAGAUAAACAAUUGUAUGAAGUUAAAAAAUUAGCGGGAUAACUGUAUGCUAAAAAAGCAAGAAGAAACUGGACACAGUUUAUGGAUUUGCUGGCCAGGAAAGGGAAAUCACUUGCUUCACAUGUGUCCUUUCAGUUGAAUCAAUUUAACUACUCCAACAGAUAUGAACUUAGGAAAGUAAAAAAGGAAGCUACUGCAUUUGAAAAUCCUAAUGAUUCCACCCAAAACUUUCUGACCAUUUUCUCAGUCAUAAAAACAAGUAGAUUUCAUCCUCUCGUUCUUGUUUUCCUAUGGCUAUGGUUCAGUUCAAACCCAAUACUAACAUAUUCUGAGAUAAAAAUUGACAAACGCCAACUUUUACAGCGACACCACCUGAACUAAGCCUUAACAACAUUUUCAAGAUUCACAAAAAAAGGUGUACAAGAUUACGCUAGAGUUCUUUUUUCUCUCCCAAGCAAACACUUUAAUUUUCAUAGAUAGGAUUUCUAAUAAAUCUAAUAAAAAAUAUAGUUGUAAAUAAAAAGAACAAUCUCCGAGCUGAAAAACGUUAAAACUAACUAACAUGAGUCUUCAAAAGUUGAACUUCCAAAAUCCAAAAGAGCUAAAGGUGUUCAAUUUAUCAGAAAUUAACUCACAUACAGUAACUAUCUGAAAUUUAUAAAUUAAAAAUAAAAAAAAAAUCAAUAAAGAGAAAUUAGCACCAGAAAGUAGAAACUCACAUAGCGAGUGAUUGAGUCUGCGUUUCAGGAAUGAAGGUUUCUCCGAUCCCCUAAUUUCCUGAUCGUAUAACAAACAGCUCAAAAUUUCAGAAACUAUUUUCAGAUUCUACGUUUGAAUCACAAAACAACAAAAAAUCAAUUAAAAACAAAAAAGGAAGGGAAAAUGAUGAAUUAGCUUACAUGAUUAAAGCUUUUGCGAUGAUCAGUAUAGAUCUGAUGCGUUUAUAAUGGAUAAAGAAGAUCAUCAAUGGAGCUCCGAAGGAAGAAGAUAUAGUAAAUACUCCUAUGUUUUGUCUGAUUUAAGAUGGGGACUCAGCUCAGGGUUCGUUGCGUUUAUAUACGCUGUGCAUAAUGACUUCCCUUAUCCUUCC
rnacentral:lncRNA from 1 species